AAACUUGAUCUUUUGAUGAUUCAGUCAGUUUCCAAAGAUUGUUGCAUCUCUUUUGACAUGGAAUACGCCACGCCACAUGUGGGAUCUUUGUUCCCCGACCAGGGAUCGAACCUGUGCCCCCUGCAGUGGAAAUGCGGAGUCUUAACCACUGGCCUGCCAGGCAAGUCCCAAAAUAAAUCCAACUUUUAAUGUAAAAUAAGCAGAAUAAAAAUUAAGAUGGUCAAACUAGGCUGCAUAAAUUACUCAGCUUCAACUGACUACAGCAUAUUUACAUUAUAGCUAAGAAGCAGCUUCAACUUUAUCAUUAAGCAUGUGCAUAUUUUGAGCUCAUUCUAUCAUAUAAAACAUUAAACAACAACCAUCUCAACUGAG